CUCCUUUCUUGAUAGUUUCUUGGUACUGCCAGUUCUUGCUAUCAGGUCUAUAAAUAAAUUCAAGAAAAAAUGAAUUAUUUACCAGUCACAUUAUUCCAUGACAAUAGUUGACCUACUUUUAAAAUUUAGGAAUGCCCCUUAUUCUGAGAAAUGAGAGUACCUGUUGGUUUCUACUAUUUCAUUCACUUUAUCUAUUUUGCAGUGUAGUCUCCCGGCAGCAAUAAACCUGGACAGUUCCCUAAUUUAGAGACAAAAAAUAACAGAAUUAGCUUUAUAGAAAAUUCUUAGAAAAAUGCAAACGGCAUUAAAAUACUGUCUUAAAUUUGUAACAAACAUUUAGCUUCCCUUCAAGCUUGUUAUUGCACAUGCAGUAGUUGACGUUGUCCCUCCUAUACUGCAGGCUUUAAGUCAUCAUCUACUAGAAUAAACAUGAUCCUAGAAGUUCAUAUUCAGAUAGAUAGAAAGUAGAUCAAACAAUGAAACCAUAUGUACUCAGAGAAAAACUGUAGGUUAGGAAAAAUUAGGGACCAAAACUGAUAAAAACAGUAAACUGUUUCAAACAAAAGACCUAAAACAAAAUUAUGGAACACAGCCCAUCAGUAAACAUGUCAACAGCAAUAGUAUUUACUAAAACAACGACCCUUUCCCUCUCUAACAUAUCUUAGUCUAAACAAGUGGAAGGGAAGGGGAGAAAUGAUGUAGAAUUAUUGCUUUGCCCAUUUUAAAAAAGGGGAUUUCAUCUAAAAUGUAACUUUUUAAGGGAGAAAAAAAGAAUAAAGAAUCCAUGACAACCCAGAUUUGAAAUUCUUAGGUAUCACAGAAAUUUAAAACAAGGCCUUUUUAGGUAACAACAACUAGAGCUCAGUGGUACAACCUUUGCCUCUCAAGCUGGUCUUAGAACAUGAAGGGAAAAAAAAAAAACUGAACAAAUACUACCUGAAUUCAACUACUACCUGAAAGGUACCAGCUGCCUUGCAUUCACUUGUCAUCAAGAUGACUUAAGGAAUACUGCGGUGUGUGCCCCUAACUAAUGAAGGCUUUAUCUCCACAUUACAGUUACGAUACUGAAGAGACGUAACCUGACCAAGGCCACAGAGCUGGAAAAAGAAGCAAAGCCAAGCCGUUUUUCUCAUGCACUGCUCACAACAAGCCCCUCCUUCCACUGACUCAUGAAAAACACACUCAUAAUGCCCAGCCCGCACCCUAAUGAACAGCCCUCUUAAGAGUGGUCAUCAGACUUCAAUUUCACAGACUAGAAUUGAGAAAUGGAACAAAACCUUGGGAUACCAGCCUUCCAUUUUGGUAGGGAUCAUUUAAAAAAUGGUAGGGAUCAUUUAAAAAAUGUGUUGGUGUCUGAAACUUACUUUGAAGUGGUUAAAAAACAUAAAAUGUAUAGAUUGUAACAAGCAAAUAUGUUAAAAUGUACUGUACAAUUCUUUCUUUACAAUUUUAUGGAUGUUCGAAAUUUAAAAAAUACUAGAAAGAGAAUGGUCUUAUUUAAAAGAAAUGCAUCUUCA
rnacentral:lncRNA from 1 species